rnacentral:rRNA from 1 species
GUGGGGAAUCUUGCGCAAUGGGCGAAAGCCUGACGCAGCCAUGCCGCGUGGAUGAUGAAGGUCUUAGGAUUGUAAAAUCCUUUCACCGGUGAAGAUAAUGACUGUAGCCGGAGAAGAAGCCCCGGCUAACUUCGUGACAGCAGCCGCGGUAAUACGAAUGGGGCUAGCGUUGCUCGGAUUUACUGGGCGUAAAGGGCGCGUAGGCGGACAUUUAAGUCCGGGGUGAAAUCCCGGGGCUCAACCUCGGAACUGCCUUUGAUACUGGGUGUCUUGAGUAUGGAAGAGGUGUGUGAAACUCCGAGUGUAGAGGUGAAAUUCGUAGAUAUUCGGAAGAACACCAGUGGCGAAGGCGACACACUGGCUCAUUACUGACGCUGAGGCGCGAAAGCGUGGGGAGCAAACAGGAUUAGAAACCCUGGUAGUCC